GUGAUGAAUGCCAUAGGCAGAUAUUCUCUACUCUUUUUGGAGAUGCUCUAGGUCCUCUUGACAAGAUGGUGGAAAUGAAUGAAACUUCAUUUAAAGGAGAGAUGGAAAAGGUGGUAUCAUUCUUCACUGAUUCUACUACAGGAGAUAUGUGACUAUAGAUAUAUACUCCUUUUCCCCUUUUUGGUGAAUUUCUGAUGUAAAUAUCACAGCCAC
rnacentral:misc_RNA from 1 species